CUGUUUUUCUCUCUGUCGUUCCAGAUCAAUAAGCCUCUGGGUUAAUUGCAGAAUUUCUUGCUGUUAAGUCCAGAACACCUGCUGUAAAACAAGAGGAUUUCCAGAGUAUCCUGAGGAAAACCUGCACAGGACCUUCAGGACUACAGAAAAUGUGACUCUUUGACUGUUCCCUGGUCAGAGAUGGCUUAGAGUGCCUUACCUCCUCCACCACCCAGCUCUGCCAGAAGAUUUGAAGCACCUUGCAAGCAUGACACCUUCCAGGAGGUACAAGGGACCACAUGACUGGUUCUAAAUUUGCAGCCAAGAUUUGGAAUAGUUGGAUGAA
rnacentral:lncRNA from 1 species